rnacentral:tRNA from 1 species
ACUUUUAUAGGAUAGAAGUAAUCCGUUGGUCUUAGGAACCAAAAAAUUGGUGCAACUCC